GAGCGUAGGGAUGCGAGCGUUGUCCGGAUUAUUGGGCGUAAAGAGUUCGUAGGUGGUUUUAUAAGUCUGGGUGUCAAAGGCUGGGGCUCAACCCUGGAUGAUGCACUGGAUACUGUAAGACUGGAGUGCAGUAGAGGCAAGCGGAAUUCCCAGUGUAGCGGUGAAAUGCGUAGAUAUUGGGAAGAACACCGGUGGCGCAAGCGGCUUGCUGGGCUGUAACUGACACUGAGGAACGAAAGGCUAGGGGAGCGAAUGGG
rnacentral:rRNA from 1 species